rnacentral:rRNA from 1 species
CACGUAGGGCGCAAGCGUUGUCCGGAAUUAUUGGGCGUAAAGAGCUCGUAGGCGGUCUGUUGCGUCCGCUGUGAAAACCCGGGGCUUAACCCCUGGCUUGCAGUGGAUACGGACAGACUAGAGGUAGGUAGGGGAGAAUGGAAUUCCCGGUGUAGCGGUGAAAUGCGCAGAUAUCGGGAGGAACACCGGUGGCGAAGGCGGGUCUCUGGGCCGAAACUGACGCUGAGGAGCGAAAGCGUGGGGAGCGAACAGG